rnacentral:rRNA from 1 species
CUGAACCAGCCAAGUAGCGUGAAGGAUGACUGCCCUAUGGGUUGUAAACUUCUUUUAUAUGGGAAUAAAGUAUUCCACGUGUGGGAUUUUGUAUGUACCAUAUGAAUAAGGAUCGGCUAACUCCGUGCCAGCAGCCGCGGUAAUACGGAGGAUCCGAGCGUUAUCCGGAUUUAUUGGGUUUAAAGAGAGCGUAGGUGGAUUGUUAAGUCAGUUGUGAAAGUUUGCGG